AUUCUCCCUUUCUUCCAGUCCCAUUGCCACAUUUCCGGAUGGUUCAAAAUUCCAACUUCUCUAUGAAAAGAUAAUAUCCAUUAUGUCCUACACUUCUCUCUUACAUUUUUCCACCAUUAUGGUACUCAUUUCAUUCUCCCUUAAAGUAAUAUUAGCAAUCUACAUGUUUAAUCUCAUGUCUAGAUCUUAUUGACUCCAAGAGUUAAGUUGGUUUCACUUUUCUAUUCUCUUAGUGUCCAGUAUGGAACUUUCACCUGAUUGAAGCUCAAAACAUGGUUGCUGAAUUCACAAAUAAGCUCCCCUGUCAGGUAGAGAGCAUCUUUUUCUCCAAGGUGUGGACCAGUGUAAGGAAACCCAUGCCUACCACACUAUGGAGAAGUGGGUUUUCUUUUCUCUCAUGAAUAUAAAGUACUCAAUCUAUGACAUCCUUUAGUGAGUGUGACUUGAUUCAUGUGAACCUGUGACAUUGAAAUGCAUACCUUCUGAUUUUGAAACACUACUCUACAGUAAAUGGCUCAUCCAUUUAUCCAACACACAUCUGUAGAAAACACAAAACAUGUAGCAGGCCCUUGAUGAAUAGAUUCAGUCCCUAUCUGUCAAACCUCAAAGUCUAGAGGAGACCCAUAGAAAAAUAAUUAUCCUCUCUUUAGGGAAAUAUAACAAUUUAGAUAUAUACAAAGUACUUUUGUGCCCUGAAACAGGUUCUCUCUAGAGAAAAGACCUCAUUCAAAUGAUGAUGAGGCUCUUUUCACAAUGUACUGAUUUUACCAGGGACUUCGUAGCAUUAUUUUAUAUCCAGCCUUCUGCAUACAGCAGCCCCAGCUACUGGAGUCCCCAGUCUCGAGGAAAGUCCUUUGGGCCAAGAAUUGGAAAAUCAGCAUGGAAGUAAUUGCU
rnacentral:lncRNA from 10 species